GACGAACGCUGGCGGCGUGCUUAACACAUGCAAGUCGAGCGGUAAGGCCCUUUCGGGGGUACACGAGCGGCGAACGGGUGAGUAACACGUGGGUGACCUGCCCUUAGCUCUGGGAUAAGCCUGGGAAACUGGGUCUAAUACCGGAUAUGACCUCAUGACUCAUGUUGUGGGGUGGAAAGCCUUGUGCGGCUAGGGAUGGGCCCGCGGUCUAUCAGCUUGUUGGUGGGGUAAUUGCCUACCAAGGCGACGACGGGUAGCCGGCCUGAGAGGGCGACCGGCCACACUGGGACUGAGACACGGCCCAGACUCCUACGGGAGGCAGCAGUGGGGAAUCUUGCGCAAUGGGCGAAAGCCUGACGCAGCGACGCCGCGUGAGGGAUGACGGCCUCGG
rnacentral:rRNA from 1 species